rnacentral:lncRNA from 1 species
GCCAUAUUAAUAUCCUGGAAAAAAAAAAAAACUAAUGACUGGCCUUUCACACCAAGCCAAAGUGUUUGCUCCUCAUAUCACCCAAAGCUUAUCAUCUUAGAACUUAGAAUUUUGAAAAUGAAAGAAAUGAUAUAGUCAAAACAAGAAUAGGAACAGAAGACAGGAUAACUCUGGCUCGCCUUUUUUUCCAUCUCAGCACCGUUAAAGACUUUCUGAGCAGCUGCUACUGCUCAGGCUGAUGUCGAGAGUGCUGUUCAUCAAGAAGUAAAAAAAAAAGAAAAUGUUUUACAUCCCUUUCAACAGUAUCUUACCCACACCCUUUUCAGUGUGCCUACCUGGUAUAUCCCAGCAGCCACUUAUGGUACCCGUUCACUGCCUCUGGCAUGCUUCACUGAAGAUGUUUGGAGAGUAUGGAGAGAAUGAUGGGAAGAGAGCAAAUCAAAGAAUGUAGAUGAAGGGAGAAGGGCCAACCUGAAAGAUAGUCUAGACACUUUGCUAAGGAUUCCAUGAGUUGGACAACUUGGGCUGAAAAAGAAGAGUGGCCAAGGGGCACAAUUAUAGAAAAACUAAGGAGGAAAAUUCAGCUAGAGAGAGGCCAUGCCAUGCCAGGAGGGUGAGUUAUUGUAGAGUCUUGCUCUCAUUUUAGCUUUCUACCUAUCAUUCCACCAGUUCUUUGCUUUAGUUUACUAGUCACUGAUAGUCUACUCCCUGGUGGAGAGGAGAGAAAGUUGAUUGGUCACUGUUCUUGCUGUUAUCCAACUUGAAGAUAUUUUGGCCUUUUGUUUAAAAAGAAAAAAAAAGUUAAAGCUACCACCCUUCCCCUCAAAAAGCCAUUUAUCUUUGGGGAGGCAUGAAUUCUCUCUUAAACCUACCUAGCUUUACUUUAUUUCAUUGAUCUACACAAAAGGCAAUUCUCUAGGAAAGGAAUAGGACUGCAGAGGGUUUGGCAAGACAGAGUUCUAGAGGACUGUAUUAAGAUUUAUCCCUCAACUGAACAACACCUCUUGCCUUCUGUGUGGAUCAGGCACUUCUGUGUCUGAUGUUCUACCUCUUUCUGUGGUUUGAAUCUCAAAAUUACUUCUGAUCCCUCUUUCUUUAUAGAGUGCAGUCAUUGAACUCAUGGGCACACUGUGAUCAUACCGAAAGAGGGAACUGUGUCCUUCACUCAUUCAUUUGGAGAACAAUCCUAAGUACUAAUCGUCUGCCAAGUUCUUAAAGGUCCUACAGACCAGGGUGAAUAAGACCUCAAAGGUCCUUCUUUCAGCAAAUGCAGAUUCUCCAAGCUGCUAGACCUACCACCAAUAUAGCAGCAGGAUGGUUUUCCCACCCUCCCCAGCAGAAAACACUAGGUGCAUAGAAAAUGGGGUGUCAUUAAGGAAGAAGGCUGACCCCCCCCCCCACACACACACUGCUACCACCUCUUUAGUCAGCACAACCUUGCUGCUUAUGCUCCUGACCUUCCUUCAGUUCUACCAGGAUGAAAAUAGAAAUUAGCAGUUAAGGCCCCUGGGCCUGCUGCACAUGAGAUAAAAGCAGAGGAGGCUGCUAGCAGUCCUGAUACAACAAGCAGAGACUGCUGGAAGCCUCUAGCUAUCCAGUUCUCAGACACUGCACAACUGCCAAAUCUGUAAUCUCACCUGCUGCCUGGCAAUACUAAGCUGGCAGUUACUCAAAAAGGACCCUUUCCAACCACAUUGUGUCACAGCUAAGAGCCCUGAAUCCUCGACAAAGACAGUGAAGAAUUGAGAUACAGAGGGCCAGGAGGGUGAGGAAAUGCAAAGUGGCUUCAGGGACCUAGGGCAUGGGGCAGAUCUUAUGGUGGGAAGAAGGCUGGAAGAGGUGGUCAGGUCCUCCUGAUGCCUUGUCUUAGGAAUGUGCUCAUAGAAUAGUGGCAUCUGUUUCAUACUCCAUAUCUCUUUUCCUUCUAUCUUUUCUACUCAUUCCCUAGAGUGAAGAUUUAGUAUCUAAGGCCCAGUGACACUUAUAAUAAAAAGUAAAAUUCUCUUGGUACUUUCUAGCUAGUCUAGGGAAUGUUACAAGAGACAAGCAAGGCCAAUGCCUGUCAGACAGGCCUCAACACAAUAAACAAAAUAGAGAGUCUCCUGCCUUGCACAGGCUCACAACUCACUCUCCUCUCCCAUACCAUCUCCCCAGACUGAGCUGCCUCCUCCCUGCCUCUGUCCCUAGGAACACAGAGAAGGCAGUAAGAAGCUUCUUUGAGACUCAGUCAAGGUCAUCAUUUUGACACGCUUGGUCUCCAUUUUGACAUCCACGCAUAAAGAAGUGUGGUCCCCACCAAACAGGACCAAAGUUCCUGAAUGUAUGGGAGAGAAAGGGACAAGCUCUUUAUGCAGGCACAUGAAGGCCUUGAGCCAAGCUGCCUCUCCUCAUCCUCUCCUACUCAGACCUUUCCCCAUGACACACUGGAAUCUGUAUUAUAUCUAUUUUUAAGAAAGUACAAUGCUGGUUGUCUGGUUUUGUUGUUUUUACAGGUGUUAUG